GGUGAAUACAGACUGCCGACCUCGUCUAAUGAUUCUUGUUGAAUAUCUAACUGGUCAUCCAUUUUAUUAAGGAAAUAAUUCACUAAAUAAUUACCCUUGGAGUGAAGAAAUGCUACUGAGCAAAAAGAAUUUAAAUGGGCGAAAAAUUUAGCACGAUCACCGUGACAGCCAAGACAAGAGUGGCCUUCUAAGUUUAAGUGCCGCAACUUAUUUAAAUACUUUCCCCGGCGCCCGCGUUCGCGCACGCGCGAUACUUAAAUAAAAAUUGUUCUUCCAAAGAAUUGUAAGUAUAUAAGUACAUCAAUAUCAAUAUAUUUUUCACCUACCUGUGAGAGUUAAGAUACAACUACAUCGCUACCUAUCAUUGGACACCAUUUGUAAACAUCCUCCCGAUCGUGGCCCUCACCAUCGCUCUUGCAGGGACGCGACAGGACCUCGCCAGCGAUUAUGACCUUCCGGAAUCUUGCUGGUCAAGAGUUAGACGACAUAAAUCAACCAAUAUGUAUAUAUUUAUUUAUUUAUUUAUUUAUUUAUUUAUUUAUUUACUGAGUUGUUAUAAUACAGGAUAUAUUAAACAAUCGGGAAAAGAAUUACGCUAAAAUUCAAGGACUAUUGAUUAAGGAUUAUAUUCACUUGAUAUAUUAAACAAUCAUCGGGAAAAGGAUUACGCAGAAAUUCAAGGACUAUUGAUUAAUAGCAAUUGCAAGUACUAUUAUAAUUUAUAAAACAAUUUAAAUUAUAUUAACAAAAUAAAUUAUUUUUGAUUAACUUUAUAUUUAAGAGUUGAAUGAUAGGAAAAAAUUAACCCAAGUACGUGACCUCCAAAGCUACCCGACGCUCUUAUAGUAUCUCUCCGCGUUUCGUGUCGCAUCCGGACGCUGUAAGCAUAAUAAGAUAUGGGUCAAGUGCGGCUGGUAUCGUGUAAGGAGUCACUAUACUACUAGGUAGUAAAAAUAAGUGAAGAAUUUUUAAAAAAGAUGAA